CAGGAGAGCCCUGCCCAUGUCCCAGCCAGGGCUGGAGGAGCAGGGAAUGCAUUCCAGGGAAUUCUGCCUUGCAGGGAUUGCUCUGUGCCAGUACCAGAGUGACCCCAGGGCUCGGCUUACAGAAGGGACAAGACAAUGACUGUAAAAAGAAAAUUUGGCAUUAAUAUCAGUGAAGAAAAGGGUUAUGUUCAGUAUUAAAUUCCUUCGCAGAUA